rnacentral:tRNA from 3 species
CGCGGGGUGGAGCAGCCCGGUAGCUCGUCAGGCUCAUAACCUGAAGGUCGUGGGUUCAAAUCCCACCCCCGCUA